rnacentral:rRNA from 1 species
GGAGUCUGGGCCGUAUCUCAGUCCCAAUGUGUCCGUUCACCCUCUUAGGCCGGAUACCCGUCAUUGCCUUGGUGGGCCGUUACCCCGCCAACUGGCUGAUGGGACGCAGGCCGAUCCCCCGGCGGAGCCGAAGCUCCUUUCCUUCCGUGCCUCUGACACACGGAACCGUAUCCGGUAUUACCCCUUAUUUCUAAGGGCUAUCCCCGUCCGGAGGGUACGUCACCUACGCGUUACUCACCAGUCCGCCACUCUCACCACGCGCAAGCGCGUGGAUCCCGUUCGACUUGCAUGCUUAAGACGCGCCGCCAGCGUUCGUU